CGAGUUGGCCGGGCGGCCGCGGCACCCGGGAAACCGGGGAUCGAGGAAAGUCCGGACUUCACAGAGCAGGGUGAUUGCUAACGGCAAUCCGAGGCGACUCGCGGGAAAGUGCCACAGAAAACAGACCGCCACCCGAGCCCUUGUGGCAAGGGGGGUAAGGGUGAAACGGUGCGGUAAGAGCGCACCAGCACCCCGGGUGACCGGGGUGGCUAGGCAAACCCCACCCGAAGCAAGGCCAAGAAGGCCGCAACCUGGUUGCGGCCGCGCAGGCGUUCGAGGGCUGCUCGCCCGAGCCUGCGGGUAGGCCGCUCGAGGCACCCGGCGACGGUGUGUCCAGAUGGAUGGUCGCCACCGGCCCUCCUGGUAACAGGAGAGUCGGCACAGAAUCCGGCUUACAGGCCAACUCGUUCG
rnacentral:RNase_P_RNA from 1 species